rnacentral:rRNA from 1 species
UACGUAGGGGGCGAGCGUUGUCCGGCUUUAUUGGGCGUAAAGAGCUCGUAGGCGGUUCGAUAAGUCGGACGUGAAAUCUCCACGCUCAACGUGGAGGGGCCGUUCGAUACUGUCGUGACUCGAGUCCGGUAGGGGAGUGUGGAAUUCCCGGUGUAGCGGUGAAAUGCGCAGAUAUCAGGAGGAACACCAAUGGCGAAGGCAGCACUCUGGGACGUGACUGACGCUGAGACGCGAAAGCGUGGGGAGCAAACAGG